UACGUAGGGUGCGAGCGUUGUCCGGAAUUAUUGGGCGUAAAGAGCUCGUAGGCGGUCUGUUGCGUCCGCUGUGAAAACUCGGGGCUUAACCCCGAGCCUGCAGUGGAUACGGGCAGACUAGAGGUAGGUAGGGGAGAAUGGAAUUCCCGGUGUAGCGGUGAGAUGCGCAGAUAUCGGGAGGAACACCGGUGGCGAAGGCGGUUCUCUGGGCCUUACCUGACGCUGAGGAGCGAAAGCGUGGGGAGCGAACAGG
rnacentral:rRNA from 1 species